rnacentral:rRNA from 1 species
UGUGUUAAUUUUUUUUUUAUUAAAAAUUAAUUAAUAAACUAUUUUGGUUUGAGUAUGUUAAAGAAAUAAGAAAUAUAUUUAGAACUGUUAAGGUUAAUUUUUGUCAAAUUAAAAUGAUUAGUUAGUACCUUUUGUAUCAGGGUAAUUUAAAUUACUUAAAUAUUUUAUUUUCCCGAAAUAAGAAGGUCAAUUUUUGUAUAAAUCAAUUGUUGAAUAAAUUGGUUUUAAUACAAUAUUAGUAAUUAUAUGUUAUUCGUUUUUUGUAUAUCUGGUUUUAAGGUAAAUUAAUUAAGUUAAGCAUUUAUAUUUAAAUCAUAAUUAAAUUUUUUUUAAAAUGUUAUUUUAUUAGGGAUAAUCUUAAUAAAGUUAAUUAUAAUUUUACAUACAAAAAAAUUUAUAUUUUCUUUAAAAUUUUGAAUAUAGUUUUUAAUAAAUUAAAAUUUUUUAUCAUGAUUUUUUGUAUAUUUAAUUUAGAACCUUAAUUUGGAUUAAAAUUUAAAUAAUCUUUUAAUAAUGAUUUAAUUAGUAUAAGUUUUAUUUAAUUUAUUAUGAAUUCAACAAACAAUUAAUUUCAUCUGUUUAUCAAAAACAUUUCUUUUUGAAUUUUAAAUAAAAGGUAGGUUCUGCUCAAUGAUAUUAUUUUAAAUAGCUGCAGUAUUUUGACUGUACAAAGGUAGCAUAAUCAUUAGCCCCUUAAUUAGGGGCUGGUAUGAAUGAAUUAAUGAAAAUUAAAUUUUAUUUUUAAUAUUUUUAAAAUUUAAAUUUUAAGUUAAAAUGCUUAAUUAAAUUUCAGGGACGAUAAGACCCUAUAGAACUUGAAAAAUAAAGUUUUUGAUUUAUUUUUAACAAUUAAUUUAUUUUAACUUUAAAUAUUUUUUUAGUUGGGGUGACUAGUAAAUUUUAACUUUACUUUUUUUGAUCAUAAAUUAAGUGUUCUUGUUGAUCUUUUUAAGAAUUAUAAGGAAUAGUUACCUUAGGGAUAACAGCGUUAUUUAAGUGGUAAGUUCAUAUUUAUACUUAAUUUUGCGACCUCGAUGUUGAAUUAAGAAAACUUAAGAAAGCAGUAAUUUUUAUAGUAAGUCUGUUCGACUUUUAAUUUCUUACAUGAUUUGAGUUCAGACCGGCGUGAGCCAGGUCGGUUUCUAUCUUGAAUUAUACAAAUAUUAAUUAGUACGAAAGGACCAUUAAUCUAUACAAAGUGUUAUUUUUAUAAAUAAAUAUAAA